AGUGAACGCUGGCGGUAGGCCUAACACAUGCAAGUCGAACGGCAGCACAGUAAGAGCUUGCUCUUACGGGUGGCGAGUGGCGGACGGGUGAGGAAUACAUCGGAAUCUACUUUUUCGUGGGGGAUAACGUAGGGAAACUUACGCUAAUACCGCAUACGACCUACGGGUGAAAGCAGGGGAUCUUCGGACCUUGCGCGAUUGGAUGAGCCGAUGUCGGAUUAGCUAGUUGGCGGGGUAAAGGCCCACCGAGGCGACGAUCCGUAGCUGGUCUGAGAGGAUGAUCAGCCACACUGGAACUGAGACACGGUCCAGACUCCUACGGGAGGCAGCAGUGGGGAAUAUUGGACAAUGGGCGCAAGCCUGAUCCAGCCAUACCGCGUGGGUGAAGAAGGCCUUCGGGUUGUAAAGCCCUUUUGUCGGGAAAGAAAAGCAGCAGGUUAAUACCCCGCUGUUCUGACGGUACCCAAAGAAUAAGCACCGGCUAACUUCGUG
rnacentral:rRNA from 1 species